GGAUUAGAUACCCUAUUAUUAUAGAUAUAAAAUGGUUUAAACUUGAGUAGUAUUUGUUAUGGUCUUGAAACUUAAAGAAUUUGGCGGUAUUUUAGUCUAUUUAGAGGAAUCUGUCCCGUAAUCGAUAAUCCACGUUGAACCUUACUUAAAAUAUUAGCAUGUAUAUCUCCGUUGUUGAAAAUCUUUUUAGAGUAAUUUCUUAAAUUUUAAUUGGUAAAUAUUUCAGGUCAAGGUGCAGCUUAUGAUUAAGUGGUGAUGGAUUACAUUGUUAUUUAAGCAAAUGGAUAGUUAUUAGUAUUGAUAAGUUGAAGGUGGAUUUAAUAGUAAAUUUUUGCAGAUUGUUAAGUUGAUUAUGGCUCUAAAAUGUGUACACAUCGCCCGUCACUCUCGUUAAAUUAAGAUGAGAUAAGUC
rnacentral:rRNA from 1 species